GUUGAGGCUGAAAGUGAAGAGGAGUUGGACACAGGAGAUGCACAGAUCGCUUCAGAAAGUGACCUCCAGUCAGAGACAACUUUAGAAGUGGAGCCAACACAGCAAGCACCUGAGGAUGAAUCACCCUCUAAAUUUAAAAGGCAGGUACUCUGACUCGAGACAACAUGAAUCGAUAGCAGCAGCACGGAUACUUUGGGAGACUGAAAGCACUUUGGAUUGACA